GACGAACGCUGGCGGCGUGCCUAAUACAUGCAAGUAGAACGCUGAAGCCUGGUGCUUGCACCGAGCGGAUGAGUUGCGAACGGGUGAGUAACGCGUAGGUAACCUGCCUGGUAGCGGGGGAUAACUAUUGGGAACGAUAGCUAAUACCGCAUAAGAGUAGAUAUUGCAUGACAUUUGCUUAAAAGGUGCAAUUGCAUCACUACCAGAUGGACCUGCGUUGUAUUAGCUAGUUGGUGAGGUAACGGCUCACCAAGGCAACGAUACAUAGCCGACCUGAGAGGGUGAUCGGCCACACUGGGACUGAGACACGGCCCAGACUCCUACGGGAGGCAGCAGUAGGGAAUCUUCGGCAAUGGACGGAAGUCUGACCGAGCAACGCCGCGUGAGUGAAGAAGGUUUUCGGAUCGUAAAGCUCUGUUGUAAGAGAAGAACGAGUGUGAGAGUGGAAAGUUCACACUGUGACGGUAUCUUACCAGAAAGGGACGGCUAACUACGUGCCAGCAGCCGCGGUAAUACGUAGGUCCCGAGCGUUGUCCGGAUUUAUUGGGCGUAAAGCGAGCGCAGGCGGUUAGAUAAGUCUGAAGUUAAAGGCUGUGGCUUAACCAUAGUACGCUUUGGAAACUGUUUAACUUGAGUGCAAGAGGGGAGAGUGGAAUUCCAUGUGUAGCGGUGAAAUGCGUAGAUAUAUGGAGGAACACCGGUGGCGAAAGCGGCUCUCUGGCUUGUAACUGACGCUGAGGCUCGAAAGCGUGGGGAGCAAACAGG
rnacentral:rRNA from 1 species